GGGGAUAGCCUUUCGAAAGAAAGAUUAAUAUCCGAUAGCAUAUAUUUCCCGCAUGGGUUUUAUAUUAAAGAAAUUCGGUAUGAGAUGGGGAUGCGUUCCAUUAGUUUGUUGGCGGGGUAACGGCCCACAAGACUACGAUGGAUAGGGGUUCUGAGAGGAAGGUCCCCCACAUUGGAACUGAGACACGGUCCAAACUCCUACGGGAGGCAGCAGUGAGGAAUAUUGGUCAAUGGACGCGAGUCUGAACCAGCCAAGUAGCGUGAAGGAUGACUGCCCUAUGGGUUGUAAACUUCUUUUAUAUGGGAAUAAAGUGGUCCACGUGUGGAUUUUUGUAUGUACCAUAUGAAUAAGGAUCGGCUAACUCCGUGCCAGCAGCCGCGGUAAUACGGAGGAUCCGAGCGUUAUCCGGAUUUAUUGGGUUUAAAGGGAGCGUAGGCGGAUUGUUAAGUCAGUUGUGAAAGUUUGCGGCUCAACCGUAAAAUUGCAGUUGAUACUGGCAGUCUUGAGUGCAGUAGAGGUGGGCGGAAUUCGUGGUGUAGCGGUGAAAUGCUUAGAUAUCACGAAGAACUCCGAUUGCGAAGGCAGCUCACUGGAGUGUAACUGACGCUGAUGCUCGAAAGUGUGGGUAUCAAACAGGAUUAGAUACCCUGGUAGUCCACACAGUAAACGAUGAAUACUCGCUGUUUGCGAUAUACAGUAAGCGGCCAAGCGAAAGCAUUAAGUAUUCCACCUGGGGAGUA
rnacentral:rRNA from 1 species